UUUGUGAAGAUGCAAUUAAUCUCAAAAAUUAUAAUGACCAUGAAAAUAAUCUAUCUGCCAUAUGCCUUGUAAAGCUGGAUAGUUCUCGAACAUAUUCUCUAGAUGAAUUUUGUGAAGAGCAGUUACAGCAAGCUACCCAGGCAUUGAAACAACUUGAGGACAUCAGGAAUAAAGCAAUUUCAGAGAUGAAAAGUACUUUUCUAAAGGUUGUGGAAUCAUCAUUGCAGCAGCUGGAAUGUGAUCCCACUGAAAUAGAAGAAUUUCUGGAGCAUUUUAUUUUUUUGAAUGCAAUUUCCUCAAAAAUAUCUAAAUUAGAAAAAGAGUUCUUAACAAUGUCUCAGCUAUAUUCUGUUGCAAAGCAUCACCAGAUCCAUAUUUCAGAAGAGCAAAUUGCCAUAUUCCAAGUUCUUCUUCUUAAGUUUAGUCAACUAAAAUCAUCUAUGAAGUUAAGUAAAAUAAAUAAAGACACUGCUAUAACUAAAUUCAGAG
rnacentral:lncRNA from 1 species